rnacentral:rRNA from 1 species
UACGUAGGGUGCAAGCGUUGUCCGGAAUUAUUGGGCGUAAAGAGCGUGUAGGCGGCCUCGUUAGUCCGCUGUGAAAGUCCAGGGCUCAACCCUGGAAUGCCGGUGGAUACUGCGAGGCUAGAGUCCGGAAGGGGCGAGUGGAACUCCUGGUGUAGCGGUGAAAUGCGCAGAUAUCAGGAAGAACACCAAUGGCGAAGGCAGCUCGCUGGGACGUGACUGACGCUGAGACGCGAAAGCGUGGGGAGCAAACAGG